CCUACGGGUGGCAGCAGUGGGGAAUAUUGGGCAAUGGACGCAAGUCUGACCCAGCAACGCCGCGUGAACGAAGAAGGCUUUCGGGUUGUAAAGUUCUAUUAAGGGGGAAGAGCAGAAGACGGUACCUCUUGAAUAAGCAACGGCUAACUACGUGCCAGCAGCCGCGGUAAUACGUAGGUGGCAAGCGUUGUCCGGAUUUACUGGGUGUAAAGGGCGUGCAGCCGGAGAGACAAGUCAGAUGUGAAAGCCACGGGCUCAACCCGUGAACUGCAUUUGAAACUGUUUCGCUUGAGUGUCGGAGAGGUAGUCGGAAUUCCUAGUGUAGCGGUGAAAUGCGUAGAUAUAAGGAAGAACACCAGUGGCGAAGGCGGAUUACUGGACGGUGACUGACGGUGAGGCGCGAAAGCGUGGGGAGCAAACAGGAUUAGAUACCCUUGUAGUC
rnacentral:rRNA from 1 species